UGUCAUACCAAACCAUCUUUCUCUAAUGAGAAAGCAGUCCCACAGUCCAGUAGGAUGAUGGUGACAUUACCUAUUCAACAUCGAGGAGCACAGACUCAUCAGCAAAGGGUAGUUUCACAACUUACUUGCACUCCCUAAACACCAUCCGCCCCCAUGCAUGUAAAUGACUGCUCGUCUCAGUUUCGGGAGAAGAUUGUUCGGAUUGUAGACACGAACUGGAACCUGGUUGAAGGUGGUGUCCAUCACAGUGACAUUAUCAUCAGAUGAAGGACCCACUAACUCCACUGUGGUGAGGACCAUCAUCAUCUCCAUGUAAUGUUUGAAUCCAAUGAGUUCACUCAACUCAGCCUGGAAUGUAGACACAAAAACAGACAUGUCUGGCAGGCCUUACUGUGAGCUGGAAGGCUCAUAGGUCAUCCUGAAAGCUGUCACCCUGAAAACCGGAGGGUGGCUAGGCCAUUCUUAGAACCGGAAGAUCAGGGUGACACAGUUCUGGAGCAGGUAUGGACUUGAAUCCAGGCCUCCUGGUUCUGAGAUACUGCUAGACCACAAUCGUUCCUGUGACAUAGAUGCAAAUAUUUUCCAACCAACCUAUACAGCAAUGUUACUACACACCUCUGGAGGAGGUGGAACUUGAACAUAGGCCUUCUGGCUCAAAGAUUCCCCAGAGAUGCAACCUGGCCAGGCAAAGGACAACGACUAAGAAGACAGUUAUAGUGGCAACAGGACUUUGGUUGACUUACAAUUUCCAUUCAACAGCUCACAUGCGAAUAUUGAAUUAAAUUUGGAGAUAUGUGAGACAUUGGGCAAAGGUGUCCCACAGCUGGGAUGGAGAGGUGGGUGGUGAGGGUACCAGCUCACCAGAGGUCACAUUUGAGUUCUGCUGCAGACGACUCAGAUGAGGGCAGUAAUGAUCCAGGCUGCAGAGAAUGGCAGAUGGAUGGGCAAAUAUGAAUGCUGGGUGAACCCUGCUAGAAAAUCUACGUUGAAUUUUCAGAAGCAUGGAGCAGUCUAGCACCAUCUUGACACAAGACUCAGCAAAGAAGCUGCAGCACAUACUUUCCAGUAUGGAACCAGCAGGCAAAUGGAUGCAACAUACGGUGGCUCAGCAGUUAGCACUGUUGCCUCACAGCACCAGGGAAAAAGUGAGGACUGCAGAUGCUGGAG